CACGGUAAACGAUGGAUGCCCGCUGUUUGCGAUAUACUGUGAGCGGCCAAGAGAAAUCGUUAAGCAUCCCACCUGGGGAGUACGCCGGCAACGGUGAAACUCAAAGGAAUUGACGGGGGCCCGCACAAGCGGAGGAACAUGUGGUUUAAUUCGAUGAUACGCGAGGAACCUUACCCGGGCUUGAACUGCAGGAGAACGAUUCAGAGAUGAUGAGGCCCUUCGGGGCUCCUGUGGAGGUGCUGCAUGGUUGUCGUCAGCUCGUGCCGUGAGGUGUCGGCUUAAGUGCCAUAACGAGCGCAACCCUUUUCAUUAGUUGCCAUCAGGUAAUGCUGGGCACUCUGAUGAUACUGCCACCGUAAGGUGUGAGGAAGGUGGGGAUGACGUCAAAUCAGCACGGCCCUUACGUCCGGGGCUACACACGUGUUACAAUGGGAGGUACAGAGAGUCGGAUGUGCGCAAGUACAUUCUAAUCCUAAAAGCCUUCCUCAGUUCGGAUUGGGGUCUGCAACCCGACC
rnacentral:rRNA from 1 species